ACCCUGAUGAGCACCCCUUUGCAGCCCUCAAGGCGCUCAAGGCCACGCCGGGCGGCUCUCAGGGCAAAAAACCCAAGGGAAAAUGACGCGGCUGCGGGGAGCGCUUGACUGAACCUGCGGCCGGGGUCNCGGCCGGGGUCAAGCCGUUGUAUCGCACCACAAAAACGCUAUUGUCGCUGCCCGGCUGGGGCUGCGCUGUUUUUGGCGAAGACUUCCGCCUACCGCUGUCACAACGAUGGCAUCCAGCUCGCGNCUUUCAGCUCGCGGCCAGUUGCUUCGAGGCCGCAACGAUCAGGUUUCCGGGACGCUUAUGCCUCAAAAGGUUCGAAUCGCGCUGGGCGCCAUGGGCGGCGAUUUCGGUGCAUCGG
rnacentral:misc_RNA from 1 species